CCCCAGCCUUCGCGCAGUACGACCGGAGAUGGACGGACGCCGCAGGGUACGCGCGGCCAUUGAGGAGCUUGAGUCGGGUGGAGGAGGCGGCGCCCGAGCACCGGUGGCGGCUGGCGAGCAACCCGACCGAUGGACACUUGAGUGGAUCAAGAACAAUCCAGUACAGGCAAUCAUACCUGUCAAACGGGACUGAGGGCAACAAAUCCCAAGUUCUUUCCUCCACCACGCCCUCUAGUGUCCACGCGCCAGAAGGGGAAAAGUUGCCACGACUGCAGCAGAUAGACGGACGUCGUACCGUGUUGCUCAAACAUGUGCAAGUUGGUGAGCUACUACACGCUGUGCGUCUUUGUGUGCUCUCAGCUCCGUUUUGCGAGCGUUUGGGCGGACGAUGAGGUCAAGAUCGAGGUGGUGCAGCAGCCCGACACGUGCGAAAAAAAGAGCAAGAAAGGAGACCUGAUGAACGUCCACUACGAUGGCUUCCUCGCUAAAGAUGGAACUCAGUUCUACUGCAGCCGCCACGACAAAGCCGGUCACCCGCAGUGGUUCAUCCUGGGCGUAGGGCAAGUCAUCAAGGGUCUGGACUUCGGGAUGCUUGACAUGUGCGCAGGGGAGAAGAGAAAAAUCACCAUUCCACCCUCCUUGGCCUUUGGGGAGAAAGGCAAAGGUCCUGUCCCACCCAACGCGACGGUGGUCUUUCAAGUGGAGGUCUACUCCGUGUCCCGAGGUCCACGCAGCAUGGAAGCUUUUGGACAAGUGGACACCGACCAAGACCGAAGUCUCACAAAGGCCGAGAUCAAGGCCCACUUGAGGAUGGAGUUUGAAAGAAACGGCAAGCCGGGAGACGACGCCCACUACGAGAAGAUCAUCACGGACAUCUUCCGCAAGACCGACACCGACAAAGACGGGAUCAUCAGCGCCAACGAGUACAACAUUUAUCAACACGACGAGCUCUAGUCCCCUCGGCCGGUAAUGCGGUCUGAGAUGACAUCACGUCCCAUGUGCUUUGCUUCUGUGACAUCGGAUCGCAAGUUUAUGAGAUGUUGAUCCGGAUGGACGGCACUCUGAUGGCGGCCGCCUUCACUUGUGACGUCAGGUCCGCGCCCAGCGGUGCCCUGCAACACCACGUUUCAGCGGGGAAAAUUCGGAAAUAUGACGACCCAAACGCGCGCACGUACUUUGGCUGGUAGCUGACCUCCGCGUUGGGAGGCAGAAUCCCUCUCCCUUCCCUGAGUCGCUCCACACCGUUCCUGCAAACGGAAUUUGGCCGGAGGGCAGAGUAGGCGGAGGCCCGUUGCCUCGGUGAUGACGCCCAGAGCUUUGCGGACAUACUGGUUGCUGGCCACGCCUCCCGACACAACCUGGAACCGAGGAAAUUUGAAAACCCACUUCAUGUAUCGUGCCUGCAUCAUUUUGGCAUUUGGUGACACGCGCACUCACCAGUGUGGGCUCGAGCGAGGGCAGCAGUCCGUUGGCCUUACAAAAGAGGACGGCGCGAUGCGUACGCUUGGCCAGAUGACACGCGACCGUGUGCUGCGUCGCCGCCGCAAUGUCGUUGACGCAGGAGAGCAGAGUUCCCUGUUUGAUUCCUGCGGAUGGAGGGAAAGAAGAACUCAUUCUACUCGUGAUCUCAGUUGCUUUUCCAAACAACAAAAUAUGCACGUGAACAUUGUUGUUGCCAUCUUCGCACUCUUCACCCGUACCUUCCUCCGCUUCUUUUUUUUCUAUGGUCAUUUUAAUUUGAUUUCGUAGGCCGGCAAAAGAGAAACUGCAGUCGUAUGUUUGUCCCAUGGGUGUCUUGAAAGGAAACCUUGAGCGGUCGCCGUCCCGGGCCAGCCGCUCGAUGGCCUGACCUCCGCUCAGCGCGGAGCAAAGCGGGUGCUUGGUCAGCGACAGACGUCUCGCCACCUGUGGACGUACACAAAAAUGCAUGACACGGCAGGGCGGGGCACUUUGGUGGGCGGUGUAAGACUUCAACGCGUCUCACUUUAUCCAGAGUAUCACCUGGAGCUUCAUCCAGUGUGCGACCCAGUAGAAGAAAAUCGUCCACGCCGCGAGCCACGGCUAGCAGCGAGUGCCCGCCCGACACGAGCAGCACCAGGAAGGGGAAGGGGACCGGCUGGAGCAGGCGGACAGUCAGGGCGUGGGCCUCCAUGUGGUGGAUGGGGAUGAAGGGGGUCCCGUGGCGCCUCACAAAACUGAGGCUGAACUCCAGGCCCACACCCAAGCUCAGGGCCAGGCCCGGCUUCACCGUGGUGGCGACGGCCGACAGCUGACGCGGGUCCACGCCGCUCCGCUCCAACGCCUCGUGGACUACGCGCUCUAUGUGUUCCCUGUGAAGCUGCUGGGCCACAGUGGGGAUGAUGCCGCCUGUCCUGCAGUGGGAGACCUUAACUCAGGGAAGCAAUUUUCCAUGUUUUUGGGGUUGCAAUGGUGCCGAAACAAAAGUUUAAUUCAGUCUAUGACAACACAAGUCAAGGGACCACACUGUAUUGCUCAUUAUGUAUUUUGUUUGUACUUUUAAAACAUGGGGGGUAAUGGCAGGUGAACAGAGGAUGCUCACCUGAGGUGCACCUCUUUCUGGGAGUGUAGGGACUCCCCCAGGAUAGAACCUGUCUCGUUGAGUACGGCCGCUCCGGUGUCGUCGCAGCUCGUCUCGAUGCCCAAAACCAGCCGCGAGGGACCAGAACCCGGGGAGCCUUCACCCGUGGCGACGUCGCCAUACCGCCGCUGUUUAAAUGGUGACCGUAGUCUCUGAAUGAGCUUGUUCGCUUUGGAAGCGAACAUACUAACAGAAAUUUACAGUCAGUUUAAAUGAGCAAGUGACUGAGAAAAACUUCAUCCCACGUAAAAUUUUAAUCUAUACAACUAGAAAGAGGACGACUGUCGAUAGAAAGAAGUUUGUUGUUUUUCCGAGGUCAAUCUAUCUACUUCCGGUUCAUGUGUUCUUCGAUUCCUACGUAGUCAUCCCUGUUUGGCACCUCAGUGCGAUGGCGUGCAGUGCAAUUAAAAUAAAAAAAAUAGCAACAUCCAUAAUAAUAAUAA